UACGUAGGGUGCAAGCGUUAAUCGGAAUUACUGGGCGUAAAGCGCGCGCAGGCGGUUUCGUAAGUCUGUCGUGAAAGCCCCGGGCUCAACCUGGGAAUUGCGAUGGAGACUGCAAGGCUUGAAUCUGGCAGAGGGGGGUAGAAUUCCACGUGUAGCAGUGAAAUGCGUAGAGAUGUGGAGGAACACCGAUGGCGAAGGCAGCCCCCUGGGUCAAGAUUGACGCUCAUGCACGAAAGCGUGGGGAGCAAACAGG
rnacentral:rRNA from 1 species